AUGCUUAGGGCUGUUUUGAAGAAUAAUAAGAAAAUGUGGGAGGAAUGCUUGCCUCAUAUUGAAUUUGCUUAUAAUCGUUCAUUGCAUUCUACUACUAAGAUGUGCCCUUUUGAAGUUGUGUAUGGUUUCCUACCUCGUGCACCUAUUGAUUUGUUGCCUCUUCCAUCGUCGGAGAAGGUUAAUUUUGAUGCUAAACAACGUGCUGAAUUGAUUUUAAAAAUGCAUGAGUUAACUAAGGAAAACAUUGAGCGUAUGAAUGCUAAAUAUAAACUUGCUGGAGAUAAGGGUAGAAAACAUGUUGUGUUUGCACCUGGAGAUCUUGUUUGGUUACAUUUGCGUAAGGAUAGAUUUCCUGAUUUGCGCAAAUCAAAGCUAAUGCCACGUGCUGAUGGUCCCUUUAAGGUGUUAGAGAAAAUAAAUGAUAAUGCAUAUAAACUUGAGCUGCCUGCAGAUUUUGGGGUUAGUCCCACUUUUAACAUUGCAGAUUUGAAGCCUUAUUUGGGUGGGGAAGAUGAACUUCCGUCGAGGACGACUUCAUUUCAAGAAGGGGAGGAUGAUGAGGACAUCAAUACAAUUGUUACACCCAUAGCCCCUGCUGCUAUACAUACUGGACCAAUUACUAGAGCUCGUGCACGCCAACUAAAUUACCAGGUACUUUCGUUUCUUGGUAAUGAUUCUAAUGUUCAUGAGAAUAUGAUGCUGCCUAAAUUGGAUACAUUUGUUUUGCUUACAAAUGAAGGGCCUAGCUUGGAGAAGGAUGAACAUUGGAGCAAGAACAAGCAUGGAGAUGAUGGCAUGCGCAAGGGGAACAAGAACGGAGUUACAAGUGAUGAUUUCAGGACUUUGAAGCCACCAUAA
rnacentral:rRNA from 1 species